rnacentral:rRNA from 1 species
GAUGAACGCUAGCUACAGGCUUAACACAUGCAAGUCGAGGGGCAGCAGGGAUUUAGCUUGCUAAAUCCGCUGGCGACCGGCGCACGGGUGCGUAACGCGUAUCCAACCUUCCCGAUACUCAGGGAUAGCCUUCCGAAAGGGAGAUUAAUACCUGAUGGUGUUCAAAUUCCGCAUGUUAUUUGAACUAAAGAUUUAUCGGUAUCGGGUGGGGAUGCGUGACAUUAGAUAGUAGGCGGGGUAACGGCCCACCUAGUCUACGAUGUCUAGGGGUUCUGAGAGGAAGGUCCGCCACACUGGAACUGAGACACGGUCCAGACUCCUACGGGAGGCAGCAGUGAGGAAUAUUGGUCAAUGGUCGGAAGACUGAACCAGCCAAGUAGCGUGAAGGAUGAAGGUUCUAUGGACUGUAAACUUCUUUUAUACGGGAAUAAAACCUCCCACGUGUGGGAGCUUGUAUGUACCGUAUGAAUAAGCAUCGGCUAACUCCGUGCCAGCAGCCGCAGUAAAAC